GAUGAACGCUAGCGGCAGGCUUAAUACAUGCAAGUCGAGGGGCAGCAUGAUUGUAGCAAUACAAUUGAUGGCGACCGGCAAACGGGUGCGGAACACGUACACAACCUUCCAACAAGUGGGGGAUAGCCCAGAGAAAUUUGGAUUAAUACCCCGUAACAUAGCGAUGUGGCAUCACAUUGCUGUUAUAGAUUUUUCGCUUGUUGAUGGGUGUGCGGCUGAUUAGAUAGUUGGCGGGGUAACGGCCCACCAAGUCUACGAUCAGUAGCUGAUGUGAGAGAAUGAUCAGCCACCCGGGCACUGGGACACGGGCCCGACUCCUACGGGAGGCAGCAGUAAGGUAUAUUGGACAAUGGACGCAAGUCUGAUCCAGCCAUGCCGCGUGAAGGAUUAAGGUCCUCUGGAUUGUAAACUUCUUUUAUAAGGGACGAAAAAAGGCUUUUCUAAGUCGUCUGACGGUACCUUAUGAAUAAGCACCGGCUAACUCCGUGCCAGCAGCCGCGGUAAGAC
rnacentral:rRNA from 1 species